rnacentral:rRNA from 1 species
UACAGAGGUCUCAAGCGUUGUUCGGAUUCAUUGGGCGUAAAGGGUGCGUAGGCGGCGCGGUAAGUCGGGUGUGAAAUCUCGGAGCUUAACUCCGAAACUGCAUUCGAUACUGCCGUGCUUGAGGACUGGAGAGGAGACUGGAAUUUACGGUGUAGCGGUGAAAUGCGUAGAUAUCGUAAGGAAGACCAGUGGCGAAGGCGGGUCUCUGGACAGGUUUCCUGACGCUGAGGCACGAAGGCCAGGGGGAGCAAACGGG